GACAACAUCGUGCACGUUAAUUCUAUUCUUCUUUUGGACCACGUGUUCGGUUGGAUCAGGAAAACCAUGGUGGAAGUCAAAGACUCUACGUCCAACUCACAGGCCAUACAGAGGCAGUUCCAAUUAUUCAAAUUAUGGUGGCGCUGGUGUAGGCCGUUUCCAACCAUACCCACAGAGAGGCGGGCGACCUUUUCGAAGGGGUCUCUCAGGUGGCAGUUUUCGAGGACGAGGUGGAUACGGCCAAUCCCCAAGUGGAAAAUAGAUCGAUGACUUCCAAGACAUCGAGACAUCCUGACAUUACCACACAAUGGACAAGUUCACCCGUUGUCAAAGAGACUCGACUUGGUCGCGGCAGUUGUAUCGGGGAGGCCCUCCGUUGUAGAGGACUUUCAUCAGAGACUACAACCAUCAUCUUGGCUGCCUGGAGAAGAGGAACUCUCAAACAGUAUGAUUCUGCAUGGCGGAAGUGGAUGUCUUGGUGUAUGUGCAGGGAAACUUCUCCCUUUAACUCAU